rnacentral:lncRNA from 1 species
GUGGAUUUGCGAUCGUGCUCGUUUGUAGUUCGAUCCACCGCGAGUUUGGAGCGUUUAGAAGACCUACAAGGACGAUCCAAGGACACGUGAAUCAACCUCUACGAUCCGGGCUCAUCGCGUUGUAGCGCGAAUCGCUUCCGCAAAAAGGUACGAACGAAUACUUCCGCUGCGUUCUACAUUGGUAUCAGAGCCAUAUUAGGUUGAUUUCGU